UAGCAUAUUGGCUUAUAUAAACUCUUUGUUUGUGGCAAUUACAAAAUAGCUUAUCUCUGUGGAUGUGCAACUUCUGAAGUGUAAAGCUUGAAGACAAGUUACUAAAUUAAUGCCUAUUGAAGACUCAUAGUCAGUUUAACUGAGCUGUACUCAGCUGAAACGUGUACCCAGGUCCCAGGCCCUAAUCAUUGCAUGUUGGUGGCCUCAAGACACAAGUAGACAGGGAGCUGGGUAACCUCACCUGAACAGAUCGUCUAUAGAAGGCUGAACCAGGUGAUCUUUUUACAUCAGUCUUAAGUGGAGGUUGUUAUGUGAUUCAUAGCAGCCUGCUAAGAAACCAGAAAAGCUAUGAGAAACACAGUCUUCAUUUCUACUGAGAUGUAGGCACCACUGGUGAGGCUUCUCCAAGAGGCACUGAGCAGCCUGCAUCUUGACCAGUUUACCAUCCAAGUAACCCGGUUCUAGAUGACAAAGAGCUUUCUCCUUUGCCACUAAUGAAAAUACUGAACACCUGCAGUGCUGCAGCUCUUCUAGAUAAGGGAAUGUAAUGAAGACCUUCUUGUGUUGGAGAGUUCUGUGAGGGUGAGUAGCUGCCUGCUGGACCUCAGAUGCACUGGAUAGCUGAAGUCCUACUAAGACCAUGUCUGAAAUCAGACCUGAAGUGUCUUUGUUCAUCUGAAAACUUUACUGUCUCCCCCGGAGGACUGCACACAGCAUGGAGGAAAGCCUGUUUGCGUUGCACAGUGCCAACUUUUUCAAGUCGUGUUCUGAGGAUGUUCUCAUGCACAAAGAAAUUUCCAAGCUGUCUUCCACUGAAAUCAGAAAGCUACGACCUCGCACUCCUGAACUCUUACUGAAAUUAAAAGCAUCACAAAGAGGGGAAGAAAGCCCAAACAUCAAUUCAGAUCUUUUUCUCCCCUCUUCUGUGGAGUUGUCAUGCCUCAGUUGUAAAUUAAAAUUGUAGGACUUGUGAUGAGAA